AGAAAAAAAGAAGAAGAAGAAGAAGAAGGUAUUUUUACUAGCUUUUUAGCUAUAAAAUGACUAUUUUGAAUUUCUUGUAAUAGAGAAAUAAAUUUUAGCUAAAAUAAAUUUAAUUUCUUCUAAAAAAAAAUUGAUAUAAAGAUUAUGGUUGCAAACUUUGUGUGAAGUGUGUGUAGAAGGUUCUCGAAAAAACUUCCUUACAUUGCACACAGACCUCUAUUUAUAGACGAAUUUUGGUGGUUAAGCGGAACACUGUGUUAAUUAUGGGUGAUGAUACUGAUAUAUGUCGAUCAACCUGAAUUCGGCAGUAUAUGACAUCCUGUGCGUUCAAUGUAUCUGCACUGUAACCGAAAGCUUAUUUUGUAAUGGGAGAUCGUAAAGAAGCGCCCUUAAGAUGCCAAGACAACAAACCAAGAUGCUUGAAACUCUUGCAAGGAUUCUUCUUUUGACUUCAAGUGAGGUGUAACUAUAUAUAAGUUUCAUCUUUUUAAUAUAUUAAGCAUCGAAAAUUACUGCGUAUAAAGAGAUUACAGAUGAUGGAGAUAACUAAAUGGGAAAUCUUUCCAAGAUGGACAGUUUGUUACAUUCAUGGAAACUAUAUCGGACAUCUAAUAAUCCAUUUUACAAAAAGACGAACUUAUGUUCUCCAUUGAUAGUUUUACUCGUGAGUUAAUUUUUGACUAAAGAACUUGUUUUUCAUGUUGAAUCAGUGUCUACCGAGGGAAGGAGCAUUCAAUCCAUGGAAGGAACCACGCCUCGCAGUGGAGAAAAUCUAUUUCCCUGGGACAUAAAUAUGGAUUUGUUGGCUUAAUUUCUUGCUAGUCUGUAUACUGCUUUCUAGGUUAACUUGAUUUAAAGAUUCAGCAGUGAAAAUUAUUUAGGCUUGUGAAGGGACUUGUACACACCUCUAGGAUAAAGAUAGAUAAAAGCAAAUGCUUCAUGUUUUUUC